GAUGAACGCUGGCGGCGUGCCUAAUACAUGCAAGUCGAGCGAACAGAUAAGGAGCUUGCUCCUUUGACGUUAGCGGCGGACGGGUGAGUAACACGUGGGUAACCUACCUAUAAGACUGGGAUAACUUCGGGAAACCGGAGCUAAUACCGGAUAACAUUUGGAACCGCAUGGUUCUAAAGUGAAAGAUGGUUUUGCUAUCACUUAUAGAUGGACCCGCGCCGUAUUAGCUAGUUGGUAAGGUAACGGCUUACCAAGGCGACGAUACGUAGCCGACCUGAGAGGGUGAUCGGCCACACUGGAACUGAGACACGGUCCAGACUCCUACGGGAGGCAGCAGUAGGGAAUCUUCCGCAAUGGGCGAAAGCCUGACGGAGCAACGCCGCGUGAGUGAUGAAGGGCUUCGGAUCGUAAAACUCUGUUAUUAGGGAAGAACAAACGUGUAAGUAACUGUGCACGUCUUGACGGUACCUAAUCAGAAAGCCACGGCUAACUACGUG
rnacentral:rRNA from 1 species